GACGAACGCUGCCGGCGUGCUUAACACAUGCAAGUCGAACGGAAAGGCCUGCAGCUUGCUGCGGGUACUCGAGUGGCGAACGGGUGAGUAACACGUGGGUGAUCUGCCUUGCACCUCGGGAUAAGCUUGGGAAACUGGGUCUAAUACCGGAUAGGACAGCUGUUUAGUGUCAGUUGUGGAAAGUUUUUUCGGUGCAAGAUGAGCUCGCGGCCUAUCAGCUUGUUGGUGGGGUAAUGGCCUACCAAGGCGUCGACGGGUAGCCGGCCUGAGAGGGUGUACGGCCACAUUGGGACUGAGAUACGGCCCAGACUCCUACGGGAGGCAGCAGUGGGGAAUAUUGCACAAUGGGCGGAAGCCUGAUGCAGCGACGCCGCGUGGGGGAUGAAGGCCUUCGGGUUGUAAACUCCUUUCGACAGGGACGAAGCGUAAGUGACGGUACCUGUAUAAGAAGCACCGGCUAACUACGUGCCAGCAGCCGCGGUAAUACGUAGGGUGCGAGCGUUGUCCGGAAUUACUGGGCGUAAAGAGCUCGUAGGUGGUUUGUCGCGUCGUCUGUGAAAUUCCGGGGCUUAACUCCGGGCGUGCAGGCGAUACGGGCUGACUUGAGUGCUGUAGGGGAGACUGGAAUUCCUGGUGUAGCGGUGAAAUGCGCAGAUAUCAGGAGGAACACCGAUGGCGAAGGCAGGUCUCUGGGCAGUAACUGACGCUGAGGAGCGAAAGCAUGGGUAGCGAACAGGAUUAGAUACCCUGGUAGUCCAUGCCGUAAACGGUGGGCGCUAGGUGUAGGGGGCUUCCACGUCUUCUGUGCCGUAGCUAACGCAUUAAGCGCCCCGCCUGGGGAGUACGGCCGCAAG
rnacentral:rRNA from 1 species